UUGGUCAAUUAUUACUUAGAAUGACUGAGCUUUUCUUGAGUUUGACGAUCUAUUCACAUCUAUCUUCGGUUGGGUUGGUGUAUGGGCAGUGUCCUUGAUCAUCUUGAGGACCAGUUGAAGAGCUGAAAUUUUGAUAAACUCCUGCUGCGUAGGCACUUUGUUGAAUGUCAUUCCUCAGUUGAUUCCCUUGGAGUGGAAAGAUGACAAUUCAGCUUUUUCUGUGUGGCUAAGUUGAUGAAUUGCGGAUUCCACGCUUGAAAUUGGAUAAGCUCCCCCUUCUUGGAUUUGGUUCCUUUGAUGUCUUCACUCUAUAUGUGUACAUGGAUGAAUCCUUAAUCAAUUAAUAUUUUGGCCAUGCUAUGAUAGGGUGUGUGAGAACAAGCUCGACUUAUGCUUUGAGGGUUUGAAGUUUGACAAAUGGAUGGCCUCUCUGUUGGACAUAGAUGCAAAAGGAGAGUACUAAGUUUGCUUAGUUGCAAUAAGAUAUUUGUAUGGGUUUUUGCUUCGCCGAUAUUCUCCACUGCUAUAAUACUUCCUUCUGGCACCGUCAUUGUUGGGGACAGUUUACAAGUGAGGGUUUUUGUAUGUGAGAUGGGCUGUUUUUAGUUUGUAGUGUGCCACCUUGAGGGCCUAAAUUGUGAAUAUUGUAGGUUCUCGUCGAUCCAUGGGACAAUGAAGGCUUUUCUGCACAGACCCAAGUGAUACUCCAUUGCAAACUGUUAGCAUCUCAUUCUGAAAAGAUGAACCGUUCUGUGCUUUUGCCUGUUUGCAUGAUUGGCAUAUGUGAUCAGGCCUCACAUGGGGAUGUUGACCGGACAGCCAUAUGGACACAACUUCCUUGGCAUUGCUUGCGCUCGGACUGGUUCUCUCCUUUCUGCUGAUUCUCUCAUUUCUUAUUCAUCACAAAGUUGUCGUUUCAUGUAUGCUGUCAGCAGACAUGGCUGGUCAAGCUGGGAGGAGCAGACACUUGGUUCUUGGUUGCCAUGUUUGUCAAAUUUUGUAGUUAUUUUUUUUUUUAAAUCGGUGAAGCUGAAGGGGCAGACAACAAUCCUGUAGUGAAUAAGCUUUGGUUUGAGUUUUUAACAUAUCUAGCGAGGAUAGAACCCUUCUGAUCUCUUAUGAUACCCUAAUGUACAACGGGUGAACUUCUACUUCAUAUAUAUGAUCUAAAUUUAAUAACGCACAGCUGUUUAGGGCUAUGAACUUAUACAUGUCCAAUUGCAUCAUGAUCCUUUGCGAAUGAUGAUCUGUCGACCAGAUAUUUACUGUAUCUCUUUCUCAUCCGCUCUACAAGGGUUGUUCAAAGUCAUCUUGCUUGUAAUUGGAGAUACUUGACGGUUGCCUCAUGAUCAGGUUUAUUUGCUUUGGUAUUUUCUUUGAGGGAUGAUUUUGAAGCAUCUGGUUGGGUCUAUGUCCAGAACAAUGUCGNNNNNNNNNNNNNNNNNNNNNNNNNNNNNNNNNNNNNNNNNNNNNNNNNNNNNNNNNNNNNNNNNNNNNNNNNNNNNNNNNNNNNNNNNNNNNNNNNNNNNNNNNNNNNNNNNNNNNNNNNNNNNNNNNNNNNNNNNNNNNNNNNNNNNNNNNNNNNNNNNNNNNNNNNNNNNNGAAUCCAAGUUCUUGAGUUGGGAAGGCAGGAGGUUAUUAUUUAAUGCAAUUAUGUUUAGUUGAGAUACUGAAUUGUUGUUUUCCUUUUUAGAUCGGAGUGAUGAUCGGGUUCUGGAUCUUUCUACAGGGAUUGUCUGAUUCUUUUAUUUUCAAGGAUUAGAGGAGAUGCGAUGAACAUAGAGUUCUCUCAUGUUGUGAGUUGGAGUCCUUUUGUUGCAGAUCAUUCUGAAUUCGACCUGGUUUGUGUUGUAGUGUAUUUGACUUAGCAAGCUUUUGCUUUUUGCUUCUCCUGGGGUACUUUUCAUAUAAGUAGUUUAUUUUGGGUUCCAGUUCAAGUAUCUCUCUUUGAUGAUGUCGUACUCUCUAUCUUCGUCUACAAACCUCACUGGAUAAAUUUACAAUUACUACAGUUGAGUCUUGUGUCCAAGGCUAAGUCUCGUUGUUGCUUAGGUUGGUCAUAUGUGGCUACUUUUUGCUUCUUCUGGGGGUAUUUUUGGUAUAAUUGGUUAAUUUUGGGUGCCAGUUCAAGUCUCUCUUUUUGAUAAUAUCGUCCUCUCAUCUUUUUCUGUGAACUUCACUGGAUAAAACUCCUAUUGAGUCCUGUUUCUAGGCUAAUUCUAGUUGUUGCUUUGCUGGUGGCACACAUGGAUGGCAGUUUGGCUUGUCAGAUGCUUCUAGAUUAUGCUCGAGAGAUGAGAAACUGAUUGCAGAUAUUGACCAACAUCAUGGCAGAUUAUUCAUUUCUACUUUCAAUUGGUUUGUUGCAGUCCGUAGAAGCUCUCUCUUGGUGAUUCUCUUUAUAUUGAAGUUCCAGUUGAUACUACUUGCCUGACAAAUUAGUUUUAUAUUGCUUGUGUGUUGGAAUCAAAAGUUACUUGGCCACGAGCUCGCACAAUCCCUCUACAUUGAUUCACCCCCCAUUCUGUCCAAAACUCUUACUCUAUUAUCUUCGUUUUCUGGGCAUUCUCCGUCGGCCCUUCUUCAUUUUUGUUUUCCGUUUCUUGAUUGAUUGAUUGUUGAUGGGGCAAAUUGCUUUCUUUGUGUUGAUCUUGUGAAGCAUCAUCUGGUUGCAGAGGUCCACCCCUAUAUUGCGGAGAUUCUUGAAGGUUUCGCUUGCCCUACAAUCUUUAUUGGUGUCUGGCAAUAUCAUCUUCUUUCAGAGAGAAGAAGUAGCGAUUAUCCUGAUUGAGCGUUCUCCAUCGGCCUUUCUCCUUUUUGGUUUCUGUUUCUUGAUUGAUUGUUGAUCGGGGAUUGAUUGCUUUCUCGGUCUGAUUUUGUGAAGCAUUUGGUUGCAGAAGACUCAAUGUUGCGGAGAUUUUUGAGGGUUUGGCUCAGCCUACGAUGCCUAUUUGGUUAUUGGAUUCUUUGGUUUAUGCCUCGUCCCUUCAAUCGCUUAGUGAUUUAUUGACCGAUCGAUUGAACUUUGGGUUGUUGUUUUGACCAGCUCAUUCUGGAUUCUCGUUGUACGGUGAAUUGGCAGUGUGGUUUCUUUCUUUCAUAUGAGGAUGCUGUCGCAGCAAGUGUUUGGUUUAGUGCUCCUUUUCUGACCAGUUGAUCUUUCUCUCACGAGCUGUUUCUGGAUUCUGUUAUUUGGUGAAUCCGCAGUGGCUUCUUUCCCCUUAGAGCGAAACUGCUCUUUCUCCUUUUUGGUUUCCGUUUCUUGAUUCAUUGUUAUCUCGGUCUUGAUUUUGUGAGGCGUUAUCUGGUUGCAGAGACCCACCCCUGUUGCGGAGAUUCUUGAGGGUUUCGCGCUUGGCCUACGAUGCCUAUUGGUUAUCGGAAUUAUUCAGUUUACCUCUUGUCCUUUGGUUGCUUAGUGAUUCAUCGACCGAUCGAUUGAACUUUGCGCUGUUGUUUUGACCAGAUCAUUCUGGAUUCUUGUUGUUCGGUGAAUUGGGAGUGAGGCUUCUUUCCUCUUGGAUCAUAUUUCUUGACGUCAGAGGAUGUCCUCAUGGGAAGUGCUUGGUUUAACUCCUCCUUCGACCCUUUAUUGAUACAAUAACCUAUCGAUCUUUCUGUUAUUUGGUGAAUUUGCAGUUGGCUUCUUUCCCCCUCAGGGCGAAAUUGCUUGUCUGAGGAUGUCAAGGACGAUGAAUACUAAAACACGGGUGUUUCGUUUUUUUGGAGCAUUGAUGAUCAUUUUGCUUUCAUCUUUUUGGUUGAGAUGAUGAAAGUAGUCUUUCAUGCGAUAGGCUGAAAUUUGGUGGUCUUGAUUGGAAUUUGUUCUUCGGUUUUCUAUUUUGGGGGGUUGAUUAUCAUCUAGUCCUGAUCCUCUCACAGGUCGGAGUUUUGCAAGACUGGACAAGUGGUGAUCUGGUGCGAGCUGACGAUUGUCUGAAAAUGGAAAUGCUCUGUCUCUCUAGGCAGUUAUUGGUUUGAACGAAAUUUGUUCUCCACUCCCAUAAUUUUGCGAUUAAUGCCAAACCCGAUUCUCAUUCCUUCGGAGGUCUGUUUUGUCGAUGUAUGAUCUGUCAUGGUUCUUUCUUUGCAAGGUGUAAGCACCACAACAGAUCACUAUCCAAUCCAGAUCCGCUUGCUAAUGUCUCCGUCCUAGAAAUGAUCCCUACCUUCUGUUCUCAUCCUUCAAUCUCAUCGGGAGACGUCGUUAUGGGAAGUGUUUGGUUUAGCUCCUCCUCUGAUCCUUUAUCAAACCCACUUUCGGUACAAUUGUUUCACAAGCUGCUUCUGGAUUUUUGUUAUUUGGUGAAUCUGCAGUGGCUUCUUUUCCCCAUGGAGCGAAACUGUUUGUCUUGGGAUGUCGAGGACGAUGAAUACGACGAACACGGUCAGCUUGUUUCAUAUAACACAGAUGUUUGGGCUUUUUGGAGGACUGAUGAUCCUUUUGCUGCUGUCUUUUUUUCUUGGUUGAGAUGAUGAACUAGUAGUCUUUCAGGCGAUAGGCUGAAAUCUACUGGUCUUGAUUGGAAUUUUGUUCUUCGGUUUUUUUUUUUUAAUCUUUGGGGUUUGAUUAUUGUGUAGUCCUGAUCCUCUCACAGGUCGGAGUUUUGCUAGCUCGACUAAGUGGUGAUCUACCGCGAGCUGAUGAUUGUCUGAAAUUUGAUCAACUCCAUCGUCUCUUGAGGCAGUUAUCGGUUUGAAUGAAAUUUGUUCUCCAGUCCCAUAAUUUUCCAAUUAAUGCAAAACCUGAUUCUCAUUCCUUCAGAGGUCAGUGUUUUAUUGUUGUAUGACCUGAGAUGGUUCUUUGCAAGGUGUACGCGCCACAAGAGAUCACUAUAGGGAUCCGCUUGCUGGGGUAUCCUUCCCAGAAAUAGUCCCUUCCUCAUGUUCUCAUCAUGCAUCUACGAUUGUGCAUGCAUUUCUCAAUCAGCUGACACACUUACUCCUCAGAGGAGACAUCAUUCCUGAAAAUGCACUCCUGGUCUUUCUUCUUUUCUUUUUAUUUCUUGAUUGAUUUUAAAACGGCUUGAUUCUGUUUACGCUAUGUUAUUUUCUGAAGGUGACCCCUGGCCUCUCUCAGACUCUGCCAUGUUGUGGGCAUUGUUAGGGUUAUUGCUCGUCUGACCGUUGGUUGAUUUAUCAUUGAUUGAUUUGUCCAUUGUAUCUUGAGCUGAUUCUGGCAUUAACUAUUCCUUGAAUUGGCAGUGGUUUCUUUCUUCUCGGAGCAAUCAUUUUCUCUGAGGAUGGUGUCUGAGAGGACAAUGAAUAUGAUGCAGCUGGUUAGUAGGUUACAUAGAAUAUGACAUCUGGGCUUUUUGGUCGAUUAAUGAUCUAUCUUGCACUGUUUGUGGUUGAGUCGAUCAUCUAAAGAAGCCUUUUGUCUUCAGGACAAAUGAUGGGCUGAAAUUUUGACAACCUUCUAGGCUUCUUCUACAGAUUGAAAGUUUUACUGGUUUUGACAGUUGGUGAUCUGUUGCGUUUUCUGUGGGGCUGAGUUGAUAAUUGUUCGAAAUUGUAUGAGCUCCUGCUUCCCGGAUUUUGGGCAGUUAUUGGUUUGAAUGGAACUUGUCCUUUACUUCUGUUAUUUCUUUGUUAAUCCGAAAGAUUAGAUCUAGUUCUAUUCCCUUUGCAGAUCAGAUUUUGGUCGAGGCAACACUUUAUGUGGCCAAGUUCGAUAUGAAGUGUCUAUGAUCUGUGAUGUUCUUUCUUGCUGCAUAAACAUCAAUUUCUAAUUUGUCUUCCACUUAUGUUAUCGUCUAGUUAAGGUGGUUAUCAUCUAGUUGAGGUGGAACGAUCAGUUGUUCUCUUUUCUUCACAGGUCAUAGUUUGGUCAAGGCAAUACCUUACCUCGUCAAUUUCGAGAUGGUGUGUCUGUGAUCAGUGAUGGUUCUUUCUUGCUGCAUAAGAAUUAAUUCAUAGGACAGGCUCUCCUUUCAGAGUUCUUUCUUGUCUGAGAAGGUCUACACAAUUGGUUUCACUUCAGUGCAAAGUGGGUAGCAUCUUAUUUUGAAAUGACGUACUUCAAAUAUCUAUCGCAAUUUGCAUUCUUAAUCUUUCUUAUAUUGUUUCUAUUUUGUAAUGGAAGAUGAUGGAUGAUACCAGUUGUUCUUUGGCAGAUUAGAGACUAUUUUAUCUUUGGGAUUGGAUUGGAAACUUUUGAUUAGUAUGUCUUACCUUUUUCUUUGAUGGAAACUAUCCUGCAUUUUAUUUAUUAUGGACUUUUUCCUUUCAACGUACUUUGUUACACAUUCAUUUCGAAAUACGUUUCUUGCAUAUGCAUUUGUUUGGACUUGGUGUGUAUGUCUGCUUGAAUUUUGUGUCAAUAAAAUGUUAAAUUUGGUUUAUUUGAAGAAUUUUUUGUCAGGUUCCUUUUGUGUUUAUAUUUUAUGAGAUUGAUGUUGUCUGCAUGGUAAUUUCCUACGCUGAGAUGUUAUUUUUGUGUGACAUAUUGCCUCUUUUUUCCCUAUGUUAUUUGGAGCUUGCAGGUUAGGUUCUUUCCCAAAAAAUAUUUAGUUUUUACAUUGUUUUAUGUGGUAGCAUUUGCCUUUUGCCAAAAUUUUACCAAAAGUAUAGCAUGGAAUGUUUUCACUUAUAAAGCAAUGUUCUCGGAUGGUUCAUCAAUAGAUUGAUCCGUUAAAAUUGUUUAUCAAAAUGAUUAUGGAUUUUGGUGGAUUGGCAGUUGCAUCUUUCCUCUUGUAGCGAUCUCUUCAUCCGAGCAUGUCGUCUAAGAAUGACAAAUACAUAGAAGCUGGUGAGUUAACAUAGAAGAAGGUGAUUGGGCUUCUUGGAGGAGAGGUGAUCUAUUAUGCAGUCUUUGUUUUCUUGAGUUCUGAAGUAGUCUUCUCUGAUUGCAUCUUCAGGAUGAGCGAAUUUUGAGGAUUUAUAGGCAUCUUGUAGUUUUGAUUUAAGUUUGUCUUCAGUUAAUUGUCUUCAGUUCUAAUUCCUCUACUGGAAGCUUUGCCAUGUUGAGAAGUGGUGUGAUCUAUUGCCUUCUUCUGUAGGGUGAGUUGAUGAUUGUUUGAAAUUGGAUAAACAGCCAUUUUGUGGAUUCUAAGGAAUGGAAUAUAUGAUGAGGUUGGUCGAUUAUUACUUAGAAUGACUGAGCUUUUCUUGAGUUUGACGAUCUAUUCACAUCUAUCUUCGGUUGGGUUGGUGUAUGGGCAGUGUCCUCGAUCAUCUUGAGGACCAGAUGAAGAGCUGAAAUUUUGAUAAACUCCUGCUGCUUAGGCACUUUGUUGAAUGUCAUUCCUCAGUUGAUUUCCUUGGAGUUGAAAGAUGUGACAAUUCAGCUUUUUCUGUGUGGCUAAGUUGAUGAAUUGCGGAGUCCGCGCUUUGUUUGAAAUUGGAUAAGCUCCCCCUUCUUGGAUUUGGUUCCUUUGAUGUCUUCACUCUAUAUGUGUACAUGGAUGAAUUCUUAAUCAAUCAUAUUUUGGCCAUGCUAUGAUAGGGUGUGCGAGAACAAGCUCGACUUAUGCUUUGAGGGUUUGAAGUUUGACAAAAGAUCGUGGAUUGUCAUUGGAUGGCCUCUCUGUUGGACAUAGAUGCAAAAGGAGAGUACUAAGUUUGCUUAGUUGCAAU
rnacentral:lncRNA from 1 species